ACAGAAGAAUCCAGAGAUGGAUUUGUGCCUUCGGGAACUGUGAGACAGGUGCUGCAUGGCUGUCGUCAGCUCGUGUUGUGAAAUGUUGGGUUAAGUCCCGCAACGAGCGCAACCCUUAUCCUUUGUUGCCAGCGAUUAGGUCGGGAACUCAAAGGAGACUGCCAGUGAUAAACUGGAGGAAGGUGGGGAUGACGUCAAGUCAUCAUGGCCCUUACGACCAGGGCUACACACGUG
rnacentral:rRNA from 1 species